GCCUUUGUGGUUUAACGGCAGCAUACUCGGCGCGUAUUCGAGAGAUCCAGGUUCGAAUCCUGGCGACAGCA
rnacentral:tRNA from 1 species